UGGGGAAUAUUGGACAAUGGGCGCAAGCCUGAUCCAGCCAUACCGCGUGAGUGAUGAAGGCCCUAGGGUUGUAAAGCUCUUUCACCGGUGAAGAUAAUGACGGUAACCGGAGAAGAAGCCCCGGCUAACUUCGUGCCAGCAGCCGCGGUAAUACGAAGGGGGCUAGCGUUGUUCGGAUUUACUGGGCGUAAAGCGCACGUAGGCGGACUAUUAAGUCAGGGGUGAAAUCCCGGGGCUCAACCCCGGAACUGCCUUUGAUACUGGUAGUCUUGAGUUCGAGAGAGGUGAGUGGAAUUCCGAGUGUAGAGGUGAAAUUCGUAGAUAUUCGGAGGAACACCAGUGGCGAAGGCGGCUCACUGGCUCGAUACUGACGCUGAGGUGCGAAAGCGUGGGGAGCAAACAGG
rnacentral:rRNA from 1 species